ACGCUGGCGGCACGCCUAAUACAUGCAAGUCGAACGAAGUAGCAAUACUUAGUGGCAGACGGGUGAGUAACAUGUGGGUAUCUUCCCUUUGGUGAGGAAUAACACGAGGAAACUUGUGUUAAUACCUCAUAAGUCUUUACGGAGAAAGCUUUAUGCGCCAUUGGAUGAGCCCGCACUUGAUUAGUUUGUUGGUGGGGUAAUGGCCUACCAAGACUGUGAUCAAUAGCUGAUUUGAGAGGAUGAUCAGCCACAUUGGGACUGAGACACGGCCCAAACUCCUACGGGAGGCAGCAGUAGGGAAUCUUGCACAAUGGAGGAAACUCUGAUGCAGCGAUGCCGCGUGAGUGAAGAAGGCCUUUGGGUUGUAAAGCUCUUUCGUCGGGGAAGAAAAUGACUGUACCCGAAUAAGAAGGUCCGGCUAACUUCGUGCCAGCAGCCGCGGUAACACGAAGGGACCUAGCGUAGUUCGGAAUUACUGGGCUUAAAGAGUUCGUAGGUGGUUAAAAUAGUUGGUGGUGAAAUCCCAGAGCUUAACUCUGGAACUGCCAUCAAAACUUUUUAGCUAGAGUAUGAUAGAGGAAAGCAGAAUUUCUAGUGUAGAGGUGAAAUUCGUAGAUAUUAGAAAGAAUACCAAUUGCGAAGGCAGCUUUCUGGAUCAUUACUGACACUGAGGAACGAAAGCAUGGGUAGCGAAGAGGAUUAGAUACCCUCGUAGUCCAUGCCGUAAACGAUGUGUGUUAGACGUUGGAAAUUUAUUUUUCAGUGUCGCAGCGAAAGCGAUAAACACACCGCCUGGGGAGUACGACCGCAAGGUUAAAACUCAAAUGAAUUGACGGGGACCCGCACAAGUAGUGGAGCAUGUGGUUUAAUUCGAAGAUACGCGCAGAACCUUACCAACACUUGACAUGUUCGUCGCGACUCUAAGAGAUUAGAGUUUUCGGUUCGGCCGGACGAAACACAGGUGCUGCAUGGCUGUCGUCAGCUCGUGUCGUGAGAUGUUGGGUUAAGUCCCGCAACGAGCGCAACCCUCACUUUUAGUUGCCAUCAUUAAGUUGGGCACUCUGAAAGAACUGCCAGUGAUAAGCUGGAGGAAGGUGGGGAUGACGUCAAGUCCUCAUGGCCCUUACGUGUUGGGCUACACACGUGCUACAAUGGCAUUUACAAUAGGAAGCAAAAUGGCGACAUUCAGCAAAUCCUAAAAAAAUGCCUCAGUUCGGAUUGUACUCUGCAACUCGAGUACAUGAAGCUGGAAUUACUAGUAAUCGCGGAUCAGCGCGCCGCGGUGAAUACGUUCCCGGGUCUUGUAGACACCGCCCGUCACACCAUGGGAGUUGGUUCUACCUUAAGGCAAAGUUUAAAACCUUUGACCACGGUAUAGUCAACGACUGGGGUG
rnacentral:rRNA from 1 species